AGGAAAUUAGCUUAAUUGGUAGAGCGUUCGUUUUACACACGAAAGGUUAUAGGUUCAAAUCCUAUAUUUCCUA
rnacentral:tRNA from 1 species